AUCUUUUGCUAACAGAUGCAGUGGCUGAAGGAUUGGUUCCUGGGAAGUCCCACGAUGUCCUCGCACGUUUGUGUGUCUCCGUUGCUCAGUUAUCAAACCACUGCGGAGCAUUUACUAGGGAGGUGAUGAAUUGUCAGCUCGCCUGGGGCUGUGAGAUGCCUUGAAGAACUUUCACCAAAAAAAAAAAAAAAAAGACCCGCCUAAGCCCUCGCCUUCCGGAUGCAGCCAGGGAGCCAGGAAACGACCCACACAUUCCACAGGGCUAUUAAAGACAAUUCACCCACACGAGACAGCCUUCAUGGAGACGUGCAGGGCACAGCCUUCGAGUCUACUGUAAGUGGAGUUAGUAAGCAUCUACUGAACUCAUGGACUCGUAACAAGAACUGAGGAGUCCACAGAGGUCAGAAGAGUGUGUACUAGAUCCCCUGGAACUGGGGUCUCAGGUGGCUGUGAGCGAACAUGUGGUGCAGAGAACCAAACCAGUGUCAUUAACAAUGACAGUAAAUUCUCUUAACCAGGAGGCCAUCACUCCAGCUUCAAACCAGGCCUUCCUAUAUGGCUAUUCUAUAGAAAGACUAGGGACAAUCCACUGCACCAUGGAGUCUUUGAUUUUACUCCAAAACAUUUAAGACCAGACAGUAGAAGACAAUAAACAUUGUAUGGGCCCACAAAAUGUCAAGAAAUAGCCUUAAAAUAACUCCAAUACCACUCCUGAUGAUAACAGCCACACCCUGUCACUGGAAACAACAGAAAAGUUCAAAGGCAAAAUGA
rnacentral:lncRNA from 1 species